GUUUUUUCAGCCAAUUCUCUUCUACUUCUAGCGGUCUAGCUCGAAUGUUUAUCUGGGUUUCUACAACUCUGGUACGGUUUCGGCAGUCCUCAGUUUUCUCUCUUCUUCACAGACUUUUCCAAAGAACUAGUGCGUUUUACAUUCGGAGUUUAGACAAAGAAAGUUGCUGUUUUGUUGUUGUUGUUGUUGCUUUCCAAUUUGCAAUCCAACAACGAGCAGUGAAAAUACUGCACGUCGCGGUGGAGCACGUUAUAUUGCUGCACUUCAGGAGAGUACCUGAAUUUUUAUUUGGGCUGGCGUCACGAAGUUUCUCUGGAAUACCACUACGUGCUGAGUGCUCUCUUCCUGGACUGCUGGUGGAACAAAAGGCCGAAAGCGUUGCAUCCCAGAGUAAUUAAGGGACCAAGUUACGAUACCGCAUCUGGCGCACCAUAAUAUAGGUCAGAAUCGGUCUCACAGGUGUUCCUAAUUGUCGCGGCAUGGCUAUACCACACUCUGAAAACUUAUCCACAAGAGAAAUGGGGAUCAAUGUUUAUUGCAUACGACAAUAUGUGCAAACUGGAUUCUCUGAAAGCAACUAAGCGGCCGCUUCCGUUAGCCAAACCUUACGAUACAAUGUGGAGCGCCGUAGGAAAAGUUAUUGACAAGUUCCACCUAGACAACCACGUUGGUCAUGAGUGUCAUACCUUAUAUAAUCCGGUUCGCAUUAAGGAAACCCACCCAACUCUCAAAUCAGCCAACACUCAAGCUUGCGAGCAAACAAACGCUUGGAUUGGGCGCUAUAAAUUCGCGCUGUUAAAGAUGUCCAAGUAUCGUCAACUCUUUUUCCUGCACAGGCUCAUCAAACGGCGGAACAAAUACUUGGCAAAACUAUUUUCUGCCGAUCUUGACAACGAGAUGCCACUGGAUUGAAGCUUCACCGAAUUCAGUCCCACUAUGCGGUAGUUGUUUUGUGUCAAACGAUAGUGGACAGUCUUUGUGCUUCAUAAUUGUGCUCACAUUUUUCCCCAAGGAUUUAAUAUUAUUUUUAAGCGUCGUGUCUAAGCCAGCAAACCGAUUUUGCAAUCGCGUCCGAUCAUUUCGGCCGAGUUAAAUUUGAAUCAUAUGCGAUCAGCACCGACGCUGUUCAUUUCGCUUAAUAGUCACUGUGGCUAGCACUCAAUACGGCCACCACUUGUUUGGCCUUCAACAUUUGUGGGUCUAGUCUUCGUUACUUUCUGUUUAUGAUUUUCCAAUGUUUUUUUUAUGCUCCUUAUGACUUUAUAUGCCUUUUUGUCUUUUGUCUUUAUUUUGUCUUUUUAUGUCAUCGCUUUGUUAUUUCAUUGAUAAAAACCUAA